rnacentral:rRNA from 1 species
UACGGAGGGUGCAAGCGUUAUCCGGAUUCACUGGGUUUAAAGGGUGCGUAGGUGGGCAGGUAAGUCAGUGGUGAAAUCUCCGGGCUUAACCCGGAAACUGCCGUUGAUACUAUUUGUCUUGAAUAUUGUGGAGGUAAGCGGAGUAUGUCAUGUAGCGGUGAAAUGCUUAGAUAUGACAUAGAACACCAAUUGCGAAGGCAGCUUACUACACAAUCAUUGACACUGAGGCACGAAAGCGUGGGGAUCAAACAGG